CACAACACAUCGAGACAUGUUGUGAACACGUUCCCAAGACUCGCCAAGACGUUCUUUUCUCGCCCUUAAAAGAAGACACACAGGCAAGUUUCAUUUCUAACUAGUCACGAUGCCAGAGAGCGAUAGACCUCAACACACCUGCAUACCUCGAAUAAUAAGGUGUGUCUCUGUCAUUUUCUUCAUCAUGUUUAUUGUUCAGGCGAUAGUUGGAUGCGUGUACAUUUAUGACUGUCCAAGGGCGCCCUCCAUUCCCCUCUUUAUGGCUAUUUGUGGAUUCAUACCUGUCUUCUGGGGACUGAGCCAUUGCAAGAGCAGGUGCAGUAUUCUCUGCAACUGUCUGUUCCUCAUCUUCUGUUUUGCCUGGUUUAUCUUCGGUAGUUUUCUCAUCUACUCCAAUUAUGAACUCGACUACGGCAUGAACACUACAGACACCAAUCGUUACUGCAACAAGACGCUCUACCUGUUUGGAUUUUGUUGCAUCACCCUGACCUACAUCCUCAUAGGUGUUCUUGUUUUCACAUUUUUUUUUGCUCGCUGCACCAACCAGAUGGAGGUUUACGAUGAUGAGGCUCGGCCACUGCUGUGGCGCUAAUCAUAUGAAUGUAUAUAUGUUUGUGUGUUCCCCACCUCCUCUGAGACAAGUGGACCAAUACUGAUGAAACAGAUUACAAUGGUGUCACAAUAAAAUAUAUCAUAUAAAAUAUAUCACACUGUAAUGAACAUAUUCUACUACUACUAAUAAUGAUAAUGACGC
ensembl:lncRNA